GCUCCGCCUAUAAUUAUCUUAAAUUUUUAAGUCAUAAUUAUUAUCGAGCUAGCUAGAUGAUGGUGGAAGGUUCUGCUGUGAUUGCUCAGUCACUCAAGACUCAAGGAGUGGAGUUUGUGUUUGGAAUAGUAGGCAUACCAAUUGUGGAGCUUGCACUGGCGUUUCAAGAUGCAGGUAUCCAAUUCAUUGGAAUGAGAAAUGAACAAGCCGCCAGUUACGCUGCAUCUGCUGUUGGGUUCCUUACUGGAAGACCUGCAUGUUGUCUGGUCGUACCUGGCCCUGGACUCAUCCAUGCUCUCGCAGGAAUGGCUAAUGCCUCUGUCAACUGCUGGCCAUUGCUGGUAAUAGCUGGAGGGUAUGACACGGACCAAGCCGGUAUGGGUGCAUUCCAAGAGUGGCCACAGGUUGAGGCAAGUCGUCCUUAUGUGAAGUAUGCAGCUCGGCUAGAAGGUUUACAGUUUGCUCCAUUUCACAUAGAAAAGGCGGUUCGCACCAGUAUGUAUGGCCGACCGGGACCAUGCUACAUAGAGGUACCUGGAGAUAUGAUUACCAACACAGUUGAUGAUAGUUCUAUUAGCUUUCCCUCACGCUGCCCAUCACCACCAUCAAUGUUGGCUGACCCAACAGCAAUCCUUAAGGCUGUAGAUAGCUUACGCAAUGCUAAAUGCCCACUGGUCAUUAUUGGAAAAGGUGCAGCCUAUGGCAAAGCUGAGAAGGAGAUACGCAAGUUUGUACUCAAAAAUAACCUCCCUUUUCUUCCCACGCCCAUGGGUAAAGGUGUAAUGCCUGAUGACCAUCCUCUCUGUGUAUCUGCAGCCAGAUCAAGGUGUUUGAAAGGCGCUGAUGUAAUUAUUUUGUUCGGAGCUCGACUGAACUGGAUUCUGCAUUUUGGAAAAUCUCCACGAUUCAGUCCCAACGCUAAAGUCAUUCAGAUUGAUGUAUGUGCAGAGGAGAUGAGUAACAAUGUUGCUUCUCAUGUGAUGUUAGUUGGUGAUAUAAAGUCAGUUGCAAAACAGCUCAAUUCUGCGUUAGAAGGCCAAGUCAGCCUGUGUGAUCCUGGCUGCUCCUGGUGGUACUCUCUUCAACAGAAAGUUCAGGAGAACUCACUUCUAUCCAAGAGUUUGAUGACUGAUGCAAGUCUGCCUAUGAGCUUCUACAGUGCGUACAGUAUGAUUGUCCAGUUUCUCCCAAGGAGUGUAGUAAUUGUCAACGAGGGCUCAACAACUAUGGAUAUUGGGAGAACAGUUUUUAAUAGUCACUUUCCUCGGCAAAGAUUGGAUGCUGGUACAUUUGGAACUAUGGGAGUUGGGUGUGGGUUUGCAAUAGCUGCUGCUUUGCUGGAACAACAGAAACUUCCAUCUCAGCAAGCACCUGUCCUAUGUAUUCAGGGUGACAGUGCGUUUGGUUUUUCUGGUAUGGAGGUUGAAACAGCACACAGGUAUUAUUUUACGCAUGUAGUACAUACGCAUUGGUUGCGCAUGCGCAGUGAGGUAUACGGUAGUAUGCAUGUGUGGACAUGGAGUGCUACAGCUGCUCUGAUAAAAUUAAUGAAGUGCAAGUACGAGUUUCUAUCGGCUUCUAGUAACGUUUUCUUCGAUUGCAAUUAGUGGAUUUGCAAAAUAAUGCUUCGUUCUCAAGUUAUGGCUAGGUUUGCUUACUUUGAAGGCAGACUACAUAAUAAUAGAGUGCGCAUGCGUAGGACUAUAUUAUACAUUUGUAUAAUUUAUAUGCUUAUAAAUUAUUACAUUAUACCGUAAUUAAUGUAAUUACAGCGCCACGUCAGCAUCAGCAUAAUUUUUAGGUCCUAAAAGAUGCGCCUACCGUUGCUGAAAUCAUUUUUUCUGGCGCGCUUAUAAAAAGGCUGUUUGAGACGUCAAGACAAUCAUCCUGCAUUUUUGACUUCCUUCACAUUUCUAAACAGUUGUCUAACUCAUAGCUACAGAAUGAAUGUUGUUCACGAGUCACUCAGCUCUCAAUGGUGCAGCUAGCAAGUGAAACUGAGAGCUGGGUGGGUGGUGUUCGCUGGGACAGCUCCACUAACAGCUGGACAGAAGAAUACAACACCUCAUGCCUCAAACUUGGCUGGCUAUCACUCCUAAAUAAAAGGACAUACUUGGACUGUUACCAGACAUUCAAAAUGAUCAAUAUGGUUUGGACUGCAUUGACUUUCAAGACUACUUCAAACAGAACAAGGGUUAUAACCUCAGAUUAAACUCACAUAAUCUUUUUAUUACUCAAUCAAGCAUUAAUGCAUUUAUAAUUAUGGCAUCCAGGUGAGCUGGUUCAGAAUACAUACAUGCAACUGGCCGGCUACUAUUAAUUACCCCAGCGUGCCUCAGGUACAAACUCCCAGUGAUCUUCAUUGUGAUGAACAAUAAUGGAAUAUAUCAGGGUAUGGAUGGAGAAUCUUGGGCUGACAUAUCAUCUGCAGAUUGCCUAGGAACAAGUUUACCUCCUACUUCUCUCACACCCAACCUCCA